UGAAUACGAGACGCUACGGCGUCGAAGCAGUCUAUGUCAUACUUCCAAGAAAAGCUCGCAAUGUCAUAAACAAAUAAUGCCUGUACCAUAACCGACACAGGUGGGUAGGUAGAGUAUACUAAGGGGCGCGAGAUAACUCUCUCUAAGGAACUCGGCAAAAUGACUCCGUAACUUCGGGAGAAGGAGUGCCUUAUUUAUAAGGUUGCAAUAACAAGAUCCAAGCAACUGUUUAUCAAAAACACAGGUCUCCGCUAAGUCGUAAGACGAUGUAUGGGGGCUGACGCCUGCCCAGUGCCAGAAGGUUAAAGAAGUUGGUUAGCAUUCGCGAAGCUGAUAACUGAAGCCCUGGUGAACGGCGGCCGUAACAAUAACGGUCCUAAGGUAGCGAAAUUCCUUGUCGGGUAAGUUCCGACCCGCACGAAAGGCGUAAUGAUUUGGAUACUGUCUCGGAGAGGGGCUCGGUGAAAUAGACUUGUCUGUGAAGAUGCGGACUACCUGCACCUGGACAGAAAGACCCUAUGAAGCUUUACUGUAACUUGAAAUUGAAAUUGGACUUUAUUUGCGCAGCAUAGGUGGGAGGCGUUGAGAGUAUUCUUGCGGGAAUAUUGGAGCCAUCAGUGAGAUACCACUCUUGUAAUGUUAGAUUUCUAACUUUGGAUCAUUAUCUGGUCAAAGAACAGUUUCAGGCGGGCAGUUUGACUGGGGCGGUCGCCUCCCAAAUGGUAACGGAGGCGUACAAAGGUUUCCUCUGAACGGGUAGAAAUCGUAUCUAGAGUGUAAAGGCAUAAGGAAGCUUGACUGUGAGACCUACAAGUCGAGCAGGGACGAAAGUCGGUCUUAGUGAUCUGACGGUGCUGAGUGGAAAGGCCGUCACUCAACGGAUAAAAGUUACUCUAAGGAUAGCAGGCUGAUCUCCCCCAAGAGUUCACAUCGACGGGGAGGUUUGGCACCUCGAUGUCGGCUCAUCGCAUCCUGGGGCGGUAGUACGUCCCAAGGGUUGGGCUGUUCGCCCGUGAAAGCGGUACGCGAGCUGGGUUCAGAACGUCGUGAGACAGUUCGGUCCAUAUCCGGUGUAGGCGUUAGAAUAUUGAGAGGAGCCUUCUUUAGUACGAGAGGACCGAGAAGGACAUACCUCUGGUGUACCAGUUAUCGUGCCAACGGUAAACGCUGGGUAGCUAUGUAUGGAGAGGAUAACCGCUGAAAGCAUCUAAGUGGGAAGCCCACCUCAAGAUAAGUAUUCUCAU
rnacentral:rRNA from 1 species